AGGAAGAGAAGAAGAGGGAGGAAAGGAAGAGAGGAAGAGAAACCCUAGGGGGAGCUAAUCUCAACCAUUUUGAGUGAUUCCAAAGCCUAAACCACUCCAAAUCUCCUCCUCUUUCAUAAUCCUUGCUUUGUUUUGAGUGGGGAGCAUUGUGGAGAGGGAUAUUGCUCCUCAAAAAUUUGGCCUUUUGGAGAAAUUUGGGGUUUUGAGUGCUUCAACCUCCAUUGAAGCUUGAGGAGCCAUCAAUCCUUGGUUGUGUGACCAUUGGUGGAUUGAGACAUUUGGACCAACCGUGAGUGAUCAACCAUUGGAGCAAGCUAUGGAGCUUGAUUAGCUCCAUUGGAUAGGUUUUGUUUGAGAAGUGGAGUAUUUUAAUUGAUUGACUGUGGAAACUGUUGGUGGUGAACAAAGGUCGACUGAAGCAUUGAGGUAAGGAUGCUGCAGGAGCCUCUGGUGGCAAGUGGCCAUAUCUGGAUUAUGCAUGAAAUGUGGCAUUUCUUUUGAGAUUGUACAUGUUGUUUUGUAGCUCACAUGUAUAGGAUUGUGAUUCAUAGACCAUUGAUAGAUGUAUGAAUUGUAUAUUGGAAUGGACUUAGCCUAUGCUCAUGCCUUUGGUCAUCUCUUUUGUUGAUGAGAGCCAAGGGAAUGAUCAUAGUGUUUUGUUAGCUAAGUUCCAUGAAUUGUAAUGAACAUGAUGUGUAAUUGAUGAGUACUUUGAGUUUAAUAUAUGUAUGUUCAUUAAGUAUUGGAUUGUUGAACUGGAAACUAAAUUAGGUACCUAGUGCUAAAUUGGGAAAUGUUGAGAAAACAAAUACAUCCUGUCCGUUUGACCAAUUUUCAUACCCAAUGUGAUGGAAUUGGACUUUGAUGUCUCUAGGGAAGUGGUAGACAUUCCUCUUAGCUUUCCAUAGAGACCAAAAUGGUG